CACGCUGCACGCCGCCGCCGUCGCGCCACUCCACCGACCCCCACUACAAAUCACGUCGCCCCCUCCCCCAGCGCCUUCGCCGUCGCGCCUCUCCGUCAUCCGUCCUCGCGGCCGCCGCCAUCGCGCCUCUCCGUCAUCCGUCCACGCCGCCGCCGCUGCUGCAGCCGCGUCCGCGUGCGAUCUCGACAUCACGGCCAGGCGGGCUGCUUCGCUCGGUCACUGCUACCCCGACAGGUCCGUCGCCCCGUCGAUACAACUUGUGAAACCAGAUGGAUCCUCUAAACAGUAAUAUUAAAGACACGGGUGUAAUUGAAGAUGCCCGUCAUCGAAGAAGAGAACGGGACAGAGCCCGUGCUGCCUUGAUGACAGAUGAGCAAAAGGAGGAAAAGAACAGGAAGCGGCAUGAGGCAUAUAAGAGGAAAAAAUGCCAUGCGCAAAACAAGGAGAAUGAUCCAGUGGAUUUAAAUAUGAGUAAUCCUACUACUAAUACGGCGGCCGUAUGCAUCGCUCCUGCCAUUGAUAAACAUACAAUAGGCUCUGCUUUGCUUGAACAAGAAAGUGAUGGAAUUAUGCCUCCCUUGAGGUCAAAUGAUGAAAGCAUUCAAACAAGAAAGAAGCACCUUGAAGCUAAUCAGAAGCUCAUACAAGGAAGUGAUAGAAUUCUUACUCCCUUGAGGUCAGAUGGUAAAAGAGUUGGAGAUCAUAAAAAGAAAUAUGAAACACGGAUAAAUGCUAUUGGAGCAGGUGACAAACAUGGUGCAACAGAUGAACAUGGUGCACCCAUCACCAGCGCUCCUGAUAUCAACGAACAUCUGGACGGCGGUCACCAUGUCACACCCACCACUAGCACUCCAAUAGUGACCGAGCAUCACACAACUCUAUCUUUCACCGAGCAAACAACAAAUUAUAUCCCAGUCGACAUGGAGAAUCAUAACCUCUCCGACCCCUGCACAAAUGUCACACCAGUACCUGGCUAUCAACAAUUGACCGCAUGUGCGGAUACACCGAGCAUGAGUGUUAAAUCAUGCAAGAAAAAACCUAUAACCGAUCAACAACGGGCCCAUAUAAAUAAACGCCGUCGUGAAUUAUAUCAUGAGAAAAAGCAGUCGGCUGAUCGGUGUGACAUAGAACGAAGGGAAAGCAUAAAGCAACGGAGCAGAGAAGCAUACCAUGCAAAAAGGAGGCAAGCCAGAUGUCAAGUGAAAAAACUAAGCCUUCAAAGAAGACAUGUGCAGAACGUAGUAGUGCCUACAAGAAAAGACUGAGAGGUUAUCAAGAGAACAAUCUACACCCGGAAUCCAUCGCCAUGGAAAAUCCGCAAUUCAUAUUCCCCACCCAAGGUCAAUCCAAAUUAACCAUCGAAGAUAUUGAUAUCGUGUUAAACAGACCGCCGCUCUUUGUUCCGUUUUCAUCAGAUCAAGGUUUAGGUAACAAAGAGAUUGAAGAACCCAUUGAAAUGCCAUCUGCACACCAAACCCGACGACAACGUGUUCCUCCAGGGGAGAGACAAAACCAUUUAGUCCGUCGCAAUCUCUUAUUUGAAGCCACAAUUGGAAGGAAGUACUUGGGUCUCCUCGAUGAGAUCCCCGAUGCCGUGAAUGAAAUCCCCGAUGUGGUGAAUGCUCCAACACAAUCGUCCGUCAUUAACACCGGAGCAACAUACCCAAAACAAGCGCAACACGCAAAUCCACAAAAACAAGAAUCCGUUGUUGGUGCAUCAAUUGUUGAGGACGAUGUUGAUGAUGAGGAGGAGGAUGAGGAAGAGGACGAGGGUUAUCUAUUCGCGGGAUAAGAACAAGAAGACGAAGUCGAUGUGGAAAUCAACCUCGACGAUGAAGAUAACAGUGUGCCAGAUGUGUUGGAUCCUUAUUACAAGGUCUAUGCUAAUGCGCCAUCUGAAACACAUAAGUUAGAGGUGGUGGAUAAUUGCGAACACUGCAAUGCUAAGAAGUUUGAGUAUAAAACUCCAGGAUUAAUAUGAAAAUGAUUGGAUCUUUCCAAGGUGGGGAGGUCGAGUAUCAUAGUUUUGAUUCUGCCGUGGAUGAUCCACACAAUUACUAUCCAUCAGAGUUUCUUAACACCCUUAUACCUAAUGGAUUGCCUCCACAUGUGUUAAAGCUAAAGGUAGGUUGUCCAAUAAUAUUGCUUCGGAACAUUGAUCCUGCGAAUGGUUUAUGUAAUGGAACGAGGUUGGUUAUACGUGGUUUCCAAAGAAAUACUAUCGAUGCUGAAAUCGUGUUGGGCCAGCAUGCUGGAAAACGAGUUUUCCUCCCUCGGAUACCCUUAUGCCCAUCUGACAACGAGAUGUUCCCGUUUCAAUUCAAAAGAAAACAGUUUCUUAUCCGGCUCAGUUUUGCCAUGACAGUCAACAAGUCACAAGGUUAGACUAUUCCUAACGUCAGCGUUUACCUCCCUGACCCCGUGUUCUCGCAUGGGCAGUUGUAUGUUGCAAUGUCAAGGGCAACUGCUAGAACAAACAUCAAGAUUUUGGCACUUCCACCUAAUGCCACUGAGCUCGAGGGAAAAGCUAAAAAGGAGAAGAAAAAUAACAAAAAAAAGGGUAACGAGAUAGUUAAUAACAAGAAAGAAAGGAAAACGAUCCCAGUGUAUAAUGGGACAUUUACAAAGAAUAUUGUAUACAAGGAGGUCCUAACGGCAUAGCACGCAUGUAUUAUAUAGUACUAACAAUUAUAUUUAACUAAUAUUGUUAUUUUCCAAGUUU